rnacentral:rRNA from 1 species
GUGAGGAAUAUUGGUCAAUGGAGGCAACUCUGAACCAGCCAUGCCGCGUGCAGGAAGACGGUCCUAUGGAUUGUAAACUGCUUUUAUUUAGGAAUAAACCCCCGGUCGUGCACCGGGGCUGAAUGUACUAAAAGAAUAAGCACCGGCUAACUCCGUGCCAGCAGCCGCGGUAAUACGGAGGGUGCAAGCGUUAUCCGGAAUCAUUGGGUUUAAAGGGUCCGCAGGCGGGUAAAUAAGUCAGAGGUGAAAUCCGGCAGCUCAACUGUCGCACUGCCUUUGAUACUGUUUAUCUUGAAUUUUAGUGGAGUGGGCGGAAUAUGUCAUGUAGCGGUGAAAUGCUUAGAUAUGACGUGGAACACCGAUAGCGAAGGCAGCUCACUAACUAUGAAUUGACGCUCAUGGACGAAAGCGUGGGUAGCAAACAGGAUUAGAAACCCUUGUAGUCC